CAUGUUGCAGGCCAGAAACAAAUAACUAGGAGAGAUGGCAGCAGUGUCACACAAUGUAGAAAGGGCGAUUCU